CAAGGACACGAAACUAGGUGCUGCAUGGCUGUCGUCAGCUCGUGCCGUGAGGUGUCGGAUUAAGUUCCAUAACGAGCGCAACCCCUAUUUCUAGUUGCCAGCGAGUAAUGUCGGGGACUCUAGAGAAACUGCCCGCGUAAGCGGUGAGGAAGGUGGGGACGACGUCAAGUCAUCACGGCCCUUACGUCCAGGGCGACACACGUGCUACAAUGGUAGGGACAGUGAGUUGCAAGCCGGUAACGGUGAGCUAAUCUACAAACCCUAUCUCAGUUCGGAUCGAGGUCUGCAACCCGACCUCGUGAAGCUGGAAUCGCUAGUAAUCGCAUAUCAGCCAUGAUGCGGUGAAUACGUUCCCGGGCCUUGUACACACCGCCCGUCAAGCCAUGGAAGUUGGG
rnacentral:rRNA from 1 species